UUAAGUCGACUUAGGUUUAUCUAGAGAAUGAGGUGAUGGACAGGUUCAUUUAAUUGUUUUGGGAAUUGUCUCAAGUACUAUGCCUUGUUCUGUUUUGAAAGAUAGAAACUUUUAACAGGAAUCGAGACUUUAGACAGAUUUUGGUGUCAUGCUUUGAUUGCCAGAAUGCAAUACAAUUCGCUUGUUGUUAGCAUUUUAACAUGCAUUUUAUCUGGUUUUAGAUAGAUUUUUACUUGGUUUGAAAAAAAAAUAAUGUCAAAUUGAUGUGAACAAUAGAUGCAGCCAGAUUUUUUCUUCCCAUACCUCUAUUCUAUCUACAAAUUGGUGUCAUACUUGCCUCGUGGUUUAUAUGAUAUUUGAUAUUCUGCUCCUACCAUCUAAUAAUUCUGAUAAUGAAGCAUGUGGGUAAUAAUUCAAUGUUGCACUUAAAGUAGUCAUAUGUCAAUCAUCACGUAGAUCAGCUAUGGCAUCGAGUCAAUUAUCAUCAUGUGUAGUUAAUGAUCUUGAAAUGAAAUCACCGAGUUGUUGGUGUGGUUUGAAAGCACCAUUAAAGAUCUCUCACACCCACAAAAAUCCUAGAAGGAAAUUUUAUGCUUGUCCGAAUUAUGCAACGGAAGAAACAAGAUUUCAAUUCUUCAUUUGGGCAGAUAUACUUCAAUCAGUAGUAUCUGAGAAAAACCUGACGAGAGAGAAUGAAAUUCGGAAGAGGGAGGAUGCUUUAUUGUUGCGUGAGUAUGAAGCUCAAAAA